UUAACAGGUAUAUAGGGUACCUAGACGGUGUAAAAUGGCUUGGAUAAGUACCUAUUACACUUGAGUUUGAUAUGGGAGAGGAAUAUGUCGGAAUUGUUGGUGUAAAGAUGAAAUUUGCUAAUACCAAUAGGACCGGUAACGGCGAAGGCAAACCUCUAUGUACAUAUACUUGCUUAUUCUAUAGAAGAAUUGAUUUGAAAUUAUAAUUGGAUUCUAAAGAAUUACUCUUUCUUACUAGAUUGAAAAUGAAAGUGAAGAAAACGCUUAAAUGCAUAAAGAAAAAAGGCAAGCUAUUAUAACUGACGUUGAGGGACGAAGGCUCAGAGAGUGAAGAGGAUUAGAUACCCCCGUAGCCUGGGCAGACAAUGAUGAGUGCCAUAGGUUGGCUUUACGCGGAACUAUAAAUGAAAGUGCAAGCACUCCACCUCAAGAGUAAUGUGGCAACGCAGGAACUGAAAUCAUUAGACCGUUUCUGAAACCAGUCGUGAAGUAUGUUAUUUAAUUCGAUGAUCCUCGAAUAACCUUACCACAAUUUGAAUGACCUAAAAUAUUUUUUUAGACCACAUGCGUUGCAUGGCUGUCUUCAGUUAAUGUCGUG
rnacentral:rRNA from 1 species